AGAGUUUGAUCCUGGCUCAGAACGAACGCUGGCGGCAGGCCUAACACAUGCAAGUCGAACGAAGUCUUCGGACUUAGUGGCGGACGGGUGAGUAACGCGUGGGAAUUUGCCCAGGGGUACGGAACAACCACGGGAAACUGUGGCUAAUACCGUAUACGCUCUUCGGAGGAAAGAAUUUCGCCCUUGGAUAAGCCCGCGUCCGAUUAGGUAGUUGGUGGGGUAACGGCCUACCAAGCCUACGAUCGGUAGCUGGUCUGAGAGGAUGAUCAGCCACACUGGGACUGAGACACGGCCCAGACUCCUACGGGAGGCAGCAGUGGGGAAUAUUGGACAAUGGGGGCAACCCUGAUCCAGCCAUGCCGCGUGCGUGAAGAAGGCCUUAGGGUUGUAAAGCGCUUUCACCCGUGAAGAUGAUGACGGUAACGGGAGAAGAAGCCCCGGCUAACUCCGUGCCAGCAGCCGCGGUAAUACGGAGGGGGCUAGCGUUGUUCGGAAUUACUGGGCGUAAAGGGCGCGCAGGCGGCCGGUCAAGUUGGGGGUGAAAGGCCCGGGCUCAACCUGGGAACUGCCUUCAAAACUGAUCGGCUUGAAUCCGGGAGAGGUGAGUGGAAUUCCCAGUGUAGAGGUGAAAUUCGUAGAUAUUGGGAAGAACACCGGUGGCGAAGGCGACUCACUGGACCGGUAUUGACGCUGAGGCGCGAAAGCGUGGGGAGCAA
rnacentral:rRNA from 1 species